rnacentral:rRNA from 1 species
GGGGCCGCUUUCCGGAUUAUUGGGCGUAAGAGCUCGUAGGCGGUUUGUCGCGUCUGCCGUGAAAGUCCGGGGCUCAACUCCGGAUCUGCGGUGGGUACGGGCAGACUAGAGUGAUGUAGGGGAGACUGGAAUUCCUGGUGUAGCGGUGAAAUGCGCAGAUAUCAGGAGGAACACCGAUGGCGAAGGCAGGUCUCUGGGCAUUAACUGACGCUGAGGAGCGAAAGCAUGGGGAGCGAACAGGAUUAGAUACCCUGGUAGUCCAUGCCGUAAACGUUGGGCACUAGGUGUGGGGGACAUUCCACGUUUUCCGCGCCGUAGCUAACGCAUUAAGUGCCCCGCCUGGGGAGUACGGCCGCAAGGCUAAAACUCAAAGGAAUUGACGGGGGCCCGCACAAGCGGCGGAGCAUGCGGAUUAAUUCGAUGCAACGCGAAGAACCUUACCAAGGCUUGACAUGGGCCGGACCGGGCUGGAAACAGUCCUUCCCCUUUGGGGCCGGUUCACAGGUGGUGCAUGGUUGUCGUCAGCUCGUGUCGUGAGAUGUUGGGUUAAGUCCCGCAACGAGCGCAACCCUCGUUCCAUGUUGCCAGCGCGUAAUGGCGGGGACUCAUGGGAGACUGCCGGGGUCAACUCGGAGGAAGGUGGGGACGACGUCAAAUCAUCAUGCCCCUUAUGUCUUGGGCUUCACGCAUGCUACAAUGGCCGGUACAAAGGGUUGCGAUACUGUGAGGUGGAGCUAAUCCCAAAAAGCCGGUCUCAGUUCGGAUUGGGGUCUGCAACUCGACCCCAUGAAGUCGGAGUCGCUAGUAAUCGCAGAUCAGCAACGCUGCGGUGAAUACGUUCCCGGGCCUUGUACACACCGCCCGUCAAGUCACGAAAGUUGGUAACACCCGAAGCCGGUGGCCUAACCCCUUGUGGGAGGGAGCUGUCGAAGGUGGGACUGGCGAUUGGGACUAAGUCGUAACAAGGUAACC